rnacentral:lncRNA from 1 species
ACUUUAACAAAUCUUGCAGCCGCACACUCUUUGGGUCCGCCCGUUUCUCUAAUCAAGUUGUAACACUCGCUGCUGUGGUCCACAGCUUCAUUCCUUGAAGCCCGUGAGACACGAACGCUUCCAUUGAGAAAAACCUUCCAUCAGAAGAAGACUUCUCGUCUCAGUGGGACUGCUGAGUUGAAUGGUGCUUUUUUUUCUGAAGCUUUGGUAGUGUAACUGUAAGAGUCCUGGAAUUGGAAAAGCAAAUCCAGAAGUUGAGUUCCAUGACUUUUUUGCUGUUUGCCUUUGGACUUGCAUCAUUUAUAUUUUUAAUUCAUCGAGGAUGAGAAAAUUGAUUAACACAAAAUCUUUUCAUGUCUUUUCUGAUGAGAGACUAGCUGAAUCCAAGAAGAGAAGCCCUUGAAGAGUGUAUUCUAUUCUAGACAAGCAUUCACACAUUGGCUUCUUUGGUGCCAGAUUAAAGAAUGAAGAAAGGAUCAAAUUGAGACAUCCAGGGGGGAAGAGUUCCCUGGCAAAACUCCAAUCUGCCUGAGCACUGAGGUGGAGCCACAGAAGUCCGGGUCAUUUGCACCUGGGAGGAGCCUGGCCCCUCCUCUUCCUGUGUGGAAUCUGGGAUUUAAUCUGUGAGGAGGGAAGGCCAAGGGCAGGAAGCACAGGCUCUCACUUCACUAAGAGUCUCUGUUUCCCCUUUUUUUCCUUUAUGCCUAAUUAAUAAAUCCCAUUUUUCUCACUCUUCAAAUAGUCUUCAAGCCUAAAUUUUCAUGACCAUGGAACAAGGACCCCAUCUUUAGCUGAACUAAGGAAAAGUCCUGCAACAAAAUUCUUUGCUAAAAAUACAUGAGGUUGCCUUUUCCUUCUUAAUCUUAAAAGAAAUAUAUUUCAAUGGUUAACGUUUUAGUAAUUCAAAAAUUAUCAAGCAUUUGUUCACAACCAUAAGAUGUGCAUUGUUUUAUAUUCCUACUUAAUAAUAGACUAUAAUUGUCUAAUUAGACUGCCGAUGUUGAUCUUUGUGGCUCAUUGCAUUGAUUAUAAGCAGUGUUUUGGGUUUGUGUGUGUGUGUCAAAUUUAGGGUUUUUUUGGUAUGGCUGCUGGUUGGUGUAGCCUGUAUCCAGUAUCCUGUAUUAAUUCUAAUAUUUGCAUUUUGAACAUAUUUACAAGUUGCUAAAAUAGCAAAGCUUCGAGAUGAGCCUGGCUGAUAUGGCAAAACCCCGUCUCUACUAAAAAUACAAAAAUUAGCCUGGUGUGGUGGUGCAUGCCUGUAAUCCCAGCUACUUGGAAGUCUGAGGCAGGAGAAUCUCUUGAACCCAGAAGGUGGAGGUUGCAGUGGGCCAAGAUCGCACCACUGCACUCCAGCCUCGGUGAUAGAGCGAGACUACGUCUCAAAAAUAAAAUAAAAUAAAAUAAAAUAAAAAUAGCAAAGCUAUGUAUGGUUUCUCUGAGUUUUGUAAUUUAUCAUUGUUAACU